CCUGCCACCGAAUACAUUAGCAUGGGAUAAUGGAAUAGGACCCUGACCUCCUAUUUUCAGUUGGUUUUACUAACAGCGAGGUUCAUAUCAGGGUAAUGAUUAAUAGGGAUAGUUGGGGGCAUUAAUAUUUAAUUGUCAGAGGUGAAAUUCUUGGAUUUAUGAAAGAUUAACUUCUGCGAAAGCGUUUGCCAAGGAUGUUUUCAUUAAUCAAGAACGAAAGUUAGGGGAUCGAAGACGAUUAAAA
rnacentral:rRNA from 1 species